ACCCAGCUGUGAAAGCUGGGUUUAAUCAGUCCCUGACAGAAAGCACACUGUUCAGUGCCAGCUCUUCGUCACUGACUCAAACAUGUUGCUCGCUCAUCAUUUCCUGUGCGUGUCUGUGUGGGCGUUUGCGUUUAUAUUUCUGCUUGCAUCAGUCAGAGAUCAUUCAGCGUUCUCUGAUGAAAGAUUUAUCCUUGCAUGCCUCUAGGCUGUUUAGAAAUUACUUGUGUUUGUUUUUUAUUUUGUUUUAUUUGUAUUUAUUCUAUUUUAUUUGUUUUGCUAUGAAAAGCUGCCUUUAUUUGUAAAGACAGGUUUCUAUCCACAGACCUGUGAGGAGAGGCAGAGACCCAAGAAGGAAAGUUAUUUGAAGUAGACCUGUGUUUUAUUCAUCUGUCUGCCAUGCUGCUCUCUGCCAAGAAAGAAGCUAUCAAAACAACUAUCUUUAUACAAUCCUUUAAAUAUCACGGUAGUUGCAGGCAAGUCACAGCCUGCCUGCAGCUACUGUGACUGUAAAUCAGCUGUAAGAUUUAUUACAGUCAGUGCGCCUCAGGUGGCUGUAGCUACAAUGUAGCUGCCAUCACCAGUGUGUGAAUGUGUGUGAAUGGGUGGAUGACUGGUUGUGUAAAGCGCUUUGGGGUCCUGAGGGACUAGAAAAGCGCUAUACAAAUACAGGCCAUUUACCAAUUCAGUAAAUCAAUUUUCUUUUGAUGUGUGAGAAAGUAUCAAAAGAUUACGUUUCCACAAAUCAUUCUUUUUCUUUUAGACAAUCUAAAUCGGAUUUUUUGAUGUUCUUUAAAGGAAGUUAAUGAGUUUUCUUGCUCAUCUUUGUGUUUUGUUUUUUUUUACUUCUGUAAGAAUAUGAAACUGAGUAUGUGCCAUGAUCACAAUUUCACACCGCUGAGUACUGAAACUUCCUUUGUGCAUGAAUUGAAACCCGGGAAUGUCCAGAAAGCUUGGUUGCUAUAAUCUCGUGCCACAGACUAGUAGUGUCAAACACAAAGACGCAUGUAUGCUGUCCUGUGAAGUCCAAGCAGAAUUCAGUCAUUCGCGGGACUUCAGUAUCAGUGCCAAGGAAUUAGUUGAUCUUUAAAAAGAGACAGAAAGUGGCACAGAAGUCCUCUUUUGACUGAUUAAAAUGUGCAAUUGGAGGAUUAUAUAGGGUGAUAUCAGAGUUGGCCACUGAGUCAAGUGUCUCAAGCAAGCUGAGGUCAGACAAGUAAUGAGGCUGUCAUAUGCAGAAAGUAAAUGCUAGAGGUGCUGGGACAUUAGUAGGGUACUCGUGUC
ensembl:lncRNA